rnacentral:rRNA from 1 species
UACGUAGGGGGCAAGCGUUGUCCGGAUUUAUUGGGCGUAAAGAGCUCGUAGGCGGUCUGUUGCGUCUGCUGUGAAAACUCGGGGCUUAACCCCGAGCCUGCAGUGGAUACGGGCAGACUAGAGGUAGGUAGGGGGAGAAUGGAAUUCCCGGUGUAGCGGUGAAAAUGCGCAGAUAUCGGGAGGAACACCGGUGGCGAAGGCGGUUCUCUGGGGCCUUACCUGACGCUGAGGAGCGAAAGCGUGGGGAGCGAACAGGA